UAAUGAUUUUAUAAUAUGAGGCUGAGA
rnacentral:piRNA from 1 species